CCCCCAUUCAACCUGGCUGGCUCUGGCACCAAUCCCAUGACUGCUAAUGCAUACCCGCCUAUGUUCAUCCCUACUAUCCAGCUGCUGCACAGCACCACUCCCCUCUCAUGCAUCAUCAGCUCCACCAGGAUGGUGGCAGCUCUGGUGGUCAGCGUGCAGGGACAGCAGGUGGACAAAACAAAGGUGGAUCUAAGCCAGCUUAUGGUGGUUCUUACUGGGGAUCAAACUGAGGGGGUCUCGUCUUGAGAAUCUUCUUAGUCCCUAAGGAAAUCCUAACCUGGGAACCUAUAAGAAAGGGGCCUGGAUGAUUGUGAAGUGAAUGAGAAGCCUGAAUACACUUGUGUGUUUUUGAGGCCGCAUUCAUUCCCAACCACGAUAUAGGUGCCUCUCAGCAUCCGGAGCAUCAAUUUGUCAAUUAGAAAUGAAAAUGCGCCACAGAAGUCUUUGAUUUAAACAAAAAAUAAAUUAAUUGCUUAGAUGGAUGUACAAGGGUCAAAACGUAGUUGUACUCUUUAGUCAGUGCAAAAAACAAAAAAAAAAAUACUAAUACAAAGGAUUUGCUUGUCUCGGUACAUAAUUUAAUACGUGUAUGAGGUAAGUUAUUCCUCACCUUAUAGGUCAUACUUUAUGUGAAGUCGUCCAAGAUGAUGUAAAGUGGAUAUAAUAUUUAGCAUUUGUGGCAAUGGUGUAUUCAGUCUUGCUCUUCUCACUUGUAAAUAACGGAUGCCACUGAAUAAACCAUGGGCGCAGGUC